CCUACGGGAGGCUGCAGUGAGGAAUAUUGGUCAAUGGACGAGAGUCUGAACCAGCCAAGUAGCGUGAAGGAUGACUGCCCUAUGGGUUGUAAACUUCUUUUAUAAAGGAGUAAAACGAGACACGUGUGCCUUUUUGCAUGUCCUUUAUGAAUAAGGAUCGGCUAACUCCGUGCCAGCAGCCGCGGUAAUACGGAGGAUCCGAGCGUUAGCCGGAUUUAUUGGGGUUAAAGGGAGCGUAGAUGGGUUUUUAAGUCAGUUGUGAAAGUUUGAGGCUUAACCGUAAAAUUGCAAUUGAUACUGGCAGUCUUGAGUAUAGGUGAGGUAGGCGGAAUUCGUGGUGUAGCGGUGAAAUGCUUAGAUAUCACGAAGAACCCCGAUUGCGAAGGCAGCUUACUA
rnacentral:rRNA from 1 species